GAUGAACGCUGGCGGCGUGCCUAAUACAUGCAGGUCGAGCGAGAAGCUUGGAAAUGACGCUUCGGUUGAUUUUCCAAGCGGACAGCGGCGGACGGGUGAGUAACGCGUAGGCAACCUGCCCCUGACAGAGGGAUAGCCAUUGGAAACGAUGAUUAAAGCCUCAUGACACCGUAGUAGCACAUGCUACAUCGGUCAAAGAUUUAUCGGUCAGGGAUGGGCCUGCGUCUGAUUAACUGGUUGGUGAGGUAACGGCUCACCAAGGUGACGAUCAGUAGCCGACCUGAGAGGGUGAUCGGCCACAUUGGAACUGAGACACGGUCCAAACUUCUACGGAAGGCAGCAGUAGGGAAUCUUGCACAAUGGGCGAAAGCCUGAUGCAGCAACGCCGCGUGAAGGAUGAAGGCCUUCGGGUUGUAAACUUCUGUUCUAAGGGAAGAAAGAAAUGACGGUACCUUAGGAGCAAGCCCCGGCUAACUACGUGCCAGCAGCCGCGGUAAUACGUAGGGGGCAAGCGUUAUCCGGAAUUAUUGGGCGUAAAGAGUGCGUAGGUGGUUACCUAAGCGCAAGGUUUAAAUUAGAGGCUCAACCUCUACAUGCCUUGCGAACUGGGCUACUUGAGUGCAGGAGGGGAAAGCGGAAUUCCUAGUGUAGCGGUGAAAUGCGUAGAUAUUAGGAGGAACACCGGCGGCGAAGGCGGCUUUCUGGACUGUAACUGACACUGAGGCACGAAAGCGUGGGUAGCAAACAGG
rnacentral:rRNA from 1 species